rnacentral:tRNA from 1 species
GACUCCUUCGUCUAACGGUCAGGACAUCAGCUUUUCACGCUGAAAAUGCGGGUUCGAUUCCCGCAGGAGUUG